UCUACAGACCUUCAUUACAUUGUAAGACUUUGCGACAGAAAGAAUUGGAAAUCCACUCAUAACCAAACAGAGGGUUACAGUCAAAGCUACAGGUGAUUGCAUCAACCAUGAAGUUUUUUGUGCUUACUUUAUUCUGUGUGGUUGCAUCUGUCAGCGUUUCUGCAUUCCCAAGAGGGCCACCUCCGCCGGGACCAGGGAGACAUGGUGAUAGGAGGCCUCCCCCCCACCAUGGGGAGCACCCUAAAUUCCCCGGAAGAGACCCACACUGCAAGGGAAAAACUACAACUGCACCAACUUCAACCACCACCGUCACUACUAGAACAACCCCUGUUACAACAAGUACUACUGUACAGUCUACAACCACCCUCACUAGUACUACCGCUACAACAUUACCUUCUACUGCCACUACACUUAAGUGAUUACUAGAGCUAGUAGAGUGGUCAACACUUCCCUGUGCUGAGGAAUAACACUGUCUCAUACCUGCUAAACUUUGUAGAUUUAAACCUCUAGUCCAUUAGUUCAACCACAAUUCCACACUUCACUAUGUGCGAAGCAAGAUGUGCAGCAUGAUGCUUUAGGAAUUUCCUUUUCUUAACUCCAGGCUUUUUCACAGAAAUUAAUAUUUGACCUUUACUAAUAGAAAAUAAAAUAACAUUAAUUUAUAUCUACUGUAAUCCUUCUGCAGAUAAUCAUCUAGACUUUACUUUUGCAUAUACUGUAUAUUCUAUAUGUCAAUUUACGUUUUGUUGAACACCACUCAGAACUACCACAAUAUGAUGUUUACUGUUUUGCGUUGUACAAAAUAUCAUUGGAAGGAAACUCAGAGAUUACUGAAAGAAGUCUCAGCAUUGUCAAUUAUGGUUUUUAUCAAUUUAAGUCUUUCCUUAAUUAGAAGACUUAUAAUUGUUCUUAAAUCUGAUAGUAGUAUGAUAGUGGCUGUAUUAGUAAUAGUCUGACUCCUGUAUAUUGUUUGAUAUCAAAUCUGUAAUUUAGUUUAAUAGCAUAGUGAGCAAAAUAGUGAAAAUGAUUAAAUAUAUACAGUAAACAGUAAAUCUUGCAUAUGUACAGUAUACAAGCUUUUCUUGGUGUCCAACAGCAAACAAUGCAAGAUCACAGGGAACAGUGGUUAUUAUUUAGUUUUGCUUGAAAAAUAAUUUUAUUUCUUUUAAAUGGUAAUGCUAUCUCCAGUUUUAGUCUUUGCCAUGUUAAAUUGAAAGCUUUGUUUUGUCAUCUUGUCAGUGCUAUGUUUUACAGUAAACAGUCUACUCUCUGUACUGUGUGCAUUAAAGGUCUUUCAGCAUCAGCAA
rnacentral:lncRNA from 1 species